UGCAGAAAUUGAUGCUUUUGAGCUUCCAAAGGAGGAAGUUGCUUCAAUUGAUGACUUGGAUUGAAUGAAUGUUAAUUGAAGUAUAGUCCUAGGUGAGCAAACAAGGCACCCUAAACCUGGAAUUUUCUCUGUAUAGUUGAGAGUGGUUUAGUUGAUAAAUUCUUGUGUAAUGACUGAUGAGCGCCUAACCAAAUAUACAAUUUAAGUGCUUGAUCCUGGCUAUUGUAGUCUAACGUGCGUGGAGAAAUGUUAAUUCUUGAGUAGAAAAGAGAGUAUGCCUUUCUCUAUGCAGACGAUAGUCAUUACACAAUCAUGGAGAACAAAUUCUUAGAAUCGCACUAAUGCAGUAGAAACUUUUGAUUCCCACAUUUAUACAUGGCAGAGAAUUUCCUGAGGAAAGGGCUGGCUGCUACAUGCUUCAAAUAAUAUUUAUUGAUACUAUUCAUACAUUUGAUCCCCAACUGCCAGCCAAAGGACUUUCAGUUCACUUUUCUGCAAUUUGUUCUUACCUCUCCCUGGCUUCCUGUGAGGGGUUUAAUGUUGCUCAUCUUAACCAUAGCUUUGGCAAAGUCUUUGAAAAACUCGUAAGGAUUACUUGCAUAUCUUCUAACAAGGGAAUCAGCUGAACUGCCAUUGAAGAGUUCUUGAUCUGAAUGGAGAAGACCCUUCCCUUGCAGCAGGUUCUUGUAGUACAGAUUAUCAAAACAGGUUGGAGUUUGGCGAUCUAGGGGUUCAAGAACAUUGUCCUUCCCCCUUCUGGGGCAAAUCUGCCGCAAUGAUUUGGCAAAGGAGGGAUCAAUAUUCGAAUUGUUGUAGAUGUGCCCUCGAAAUGAUGUGCACCUGGACAAGCCUAUGGUGUGUGAACCUGCCAUCCAGAUAAGCAAUUUAUUAAGUUUCUUGUUGAAAUUUCAGGAUGUAUAAUAGUUUUAAGUUUUAAUUAGCAUUUUUAGCAAUACUUCUUGAAAGUGUUUAUGUAAAUUCAUGGAAGGCUAAUCAAAACUUCACCUGAAAGAGCCACCAUGUUCUUCAAAGAGAGCCCCUGUGCAGAGAAGCUUGUUAUGAGAGCACUCAGAUUAGACGUAGGUGGAGGUAUAGAGGUAUUUGCAAGUGCCCUGCUUGCAGUGAGCGAAUCUCUUCUUCCCAAACCAACCUCCCAGGAAGGACCCCCCAACUGCAUAUGUUACAAAAAAAUCUACCCAAUUAAAGUAUCUACUCUAACAAGUUAAAACCGAUGCCAGAUCACAAAUUCAAGAAAUUAACUACUUGUAUAAGCUCAAUAUAUGGAACUUACAUGAACAACCGAGUCUCGAGCUACAAGGGCAAUAAUAUCAGCACAAGACACAACACCAGGACAAGCUUUUUCUACCUUAGCUUUAAUGUCAUCAAUAACAUUAAAUCCUCUAAUUGAGUUAUUGUUCGGAACAGCAGUUUUCUCCCCAAUGAAGGUGGCAUUAUCAUCUAACAGGAUCGAUCCGUCACAGCCGUUAACAAAGCAGUCAUGAAAAUGCAUUCUGAGCAGAGAUGCCCCCAUGCGAGUUUCAUUUUUUAUUGCUGCUGCAACUCCUGCUUGAAUAAUAGACAAAGCUUUCGGGCACGUAGAUGAGUAAUAAUUCACGGAUAGCUUGCCAUAAGCAACAGCAAAUGCACAAGCAGCAACCAAAAAGAGCAACAGAAAGUUCUGAAAAGCCAUGAAAAUGUCUGUUAUACUGAUAUUGAACUACUGAUAAAACAUUAAUUGCUUUAUAACCCCAAGAAAAACCAAGUAUUGAGUCAAGUAUAGUCCAAUAAUUAAGAUGAAAAGGACUUAAUAAAUUUCAUAUAGUUGCGGCAUCCUUUCGUAAUCUAGUAAUGAUAUCAUAGACCAUUAACACUGUCAAAUUCCCUGAAUUGAAGGUAAAAUUAAGAUAGUAAUUAGAAGGGACAGCUCAGAAUUACUAGAGUCCCUUCCAAGGCGAUAAAAUUUAAAAUUCGAAUCCCAAUAGGAGACAAACGAAUGAAAAGAAAUACUGUAU
rnacentral:misc_RNA from 1 species